AACGGACGCUGGCGGCAGGCUUAACACAUGCAAGUCGAACGCAUCCUUCGGGGUGAGUGGCAGACGGGUGAGUAACGCGUGGGAACGUGCCCUUCAGUUCGGGAUAACCCAGGGAAACUUGGGCUAAUACCGGAUACGUGCGAGAGCAGAAAGAUUUAUCGCUGAAGGAUCGGCCCGCGUCUGAUUAGCUGGUUGGUGGGGUAAUGGCCCACCAAGGCGACGAUCAGUAGCUGGUCUGAGAGGAUGAUCAGCCACAUUGGGACUGAGACACGGCCCAAACUCCUACGGGAGGCAGCAGUGGGGAAUAUUGGACAAUGGGCGCAAGCCUGAUCCAGCCAUGCCGCGUGAGUGAUGAAGGCCUUAGGGUUGUAAAGCUCUUUCGUCCGGGACGAUAAUGACGGUACCGGAAGAAGAAGCCCCGGCUAACUUCGUGCCAGCCGCCGCGGUAAUAC
rnacentral:rRNA from 1 species